GCUCAGUAGCGUUUCUGUUUCCUCUCCCUGCCUUUCAUCACUCAGCCCAGGUCCUGACCCUUGGUUUUAUCACCGCAUCUUGGAUAUCAUUCCCUGUGCGCUGCAGGACCUUGUUUAUCCAUCCUAUGUAUAAAGUCUGCAUCUGCUGAUCUCAGACUCCAAAACCUUCUUUCCCCCACUAUCCCCAUCCUGGGCAACCAUGAGCCUGUUCUCUGGGCUUGUGAGUUUCUGUUUUGUAGAUAAGUUCAUUUGUGUCAUAUUUGAGAUGCCACAUAUAGGCGAUAUCCUAUGGUAUCUGCCUUUCUGACUUACUUCGCUCAGUAGGAAUCUCCAGCUCCAUCAGGGUGGUAUUUAUUAAGCCAAGGAGGAACGUUCCGAAGAAGACAGCUCACGAGAAGGUGGUUACCCGUGGCUGUCCGGUCCCUCAUGACGGCGGCACAUUCACCCAGCCCUGCAGAGAUGGGAGCUGCUGCACGGGGCGCAGGGCGUGGGACAGGCGUGCACGUGUGCAUCUUCUUGUGAGAGUUCUCGGAUUUGGCUACAGUUUGGGUCAAGGUCACGCUAGGCGGACAUCAUGCCCACCCUUCAUUUCUUUCACCUGCUUGGUGGAUUGAGGCUAUUAACCUCCAAAGCAAGGGGCCUGCAGAACAAGCCUGAGAAGGAGGCCGGCCUGGACCUUGGCACUCACCUCAUCAUGCUCCGGUCACGAAAACGAAACCUGAGUUGUAUGUGAGGCUCAGUUUUUGUCCUCAAAGACCGAUGAGGAUGUACCUAAGAAUACUUCACAUUUUUUGGAGUUCUCUUGUCCCUCAGCGGGUUAAGGGGCCAGCACGGCUUCUGCUGUGGCUCUGGUCGUUGCUGCUGUGGUGGUUCCAUCCCUGGCCCGGGAGCUUCCACAUGUCGCAGGCACCACCAAAAUAAAAAGACUUUCUAACCAUGUCAGCCUCCCUGGCACCCACAGCCACAGGCAGGAGCUGGUGGGAACCGUCUCCUCCGCGUCUCCAGACGCUAUAAAAUUAAGCCGAUAAAAGACAUUCCUGCCAGUGAACUUUGAAGUCAGUGACCAGGAAAGAGUAUAAGAAGUCUUAUUAAUUGUUCUCUUGUUGGCACUACACUUAACAAAAUAGUUUGGCUCUCUUAUUUUGACCUUGUGCUCUGAAGAGCUGUUGUAAUGAACUUGGACCCCGGGCUCCACGUGUGUGGUUACUCAUUGACUGAAGACUUGAAAGGGGCUGGACCCCAGUUCCCUGGGCCUGGUGCAUUCCCCGGGGUGUUUCACGUCCCACAGUGAAGUGCCGCCUGACUUUAUCACGCCCAUAUCGCUCCCGUUUUGGUGAAAGGUUUCACUUUAAACUUAACGUGCCACGUUGAAGCAUAA